rnacentral:rRNA from 1 species
UUACCAGCUUGACAUGAAAGAGAUCCGCAAGGUACAGGUGGUGCAUGGUUGUCGUCAGCUCGUGUCGUGAGAUGUUGGGUUAAGUCCCGCAACGAGCGCAACCCCGUUUGUGUUGCCAGCAUGUGGGACUCACAGAGACUGCCGGGGUUAAUCGGAGGAAGGUGGGGAUGACGUCAAAUCAUCAUGCCCCUUAUGCUGGGCUGCACGCAUGCUACAAUGGGGUACAACGGGCACCGCAAGGGGAGCAAUCCGAAAACCGUCUCAGUUCGGAUUGGGGUCUGCAACUCGACCCCAUGAAGUCGGAGUUGCUAGUAAUCGUAAUCAGCACGUACGGUGAAUGCGUUCCCGGGGCUUGUACACACCGCCCGUCACAUCACGAAAGUCGGAAACCAAA